rnacentral:miRNA from 1 species
AGUUGGUUGAAUCCGGGCCAAAU